rnacentral:rRNA from 1 species
GACGAACCGUCCAAACGUUAUUCGGAAUUACUGGGCGUAAAGGGCGCGCAGGCGGCCACCGCAAGUCGACUGUGAAAUCUCCGGGCUUAACCCGGAAAGGUCAGCCGAUACUGCGGGGCUAGAGUGCAGAAGGGGCAACUGGAAUUCUCGGUGUAGCGGUGAAAUGCGUAGAUAUCGAGAGGAACACCUGCGGCGAAGGCGGGUUGCUGGGCUGACACUGACGCUGAGGCGCGAAAGCUAGGGGAGCGAACGGG